rnacentral:tRNA from 1 species
GCGCCCGUAGCUCAGUUGGAUAGAGCAACGGCCUUCUAAGCCGUGGGCCGCAGGUUCAAAUCCUGCCGGGCGUA